GGGGCUGACUGGUUUUGACAGCAGGUAGAAGUUAUGUGUAAGCAUGUCGAGUUUUGAUUGUUGGCUCGUGAAAUUUAAUGAUCAAACAUUUUAACUGGCGAAAAUAAUUUUGCUCUUGCAGCAUAAUCGAAGUAUAGUAGAUUAGCAUUUUCCGAUAUUAGAUAUUGGAACAAGACACUACCCGGAAGCUCCUUCUCAAGGCAAUCCGAUCAGGUGGUGCGGAAAAUUUGAGAAUAGCAGUGAAACCGCUUCGAUUUCAUUGCGAAAUUAAGAAGCUAAGGAAUAGGUCGGUGGUUUCGAUCCAGCCGAUUCUCGAAAAUUAAGUCGGAACUAAGCAUGUAGAAAGCGGGUGGCUUCCUUGUUUGGACGCGGGUUCGACUCCCGCCAGCUCCACGA
rnacentral:tmRNA from 1 species